rnacentral:rRNA from 1 species
GACGAACCGUACGAACGUUAUUCGGAAUUACUGGGCUUAAAGGGUGCGUAGGCGGCGCGGAAAGUAGGGUGUGAAAUCCCUCGGCUCAACCGAGGAACUGCGCUCUAAACUACCGUGCUCGAGGGAGAUAGAGGUGAGCGGAACUGAGGGUGGAGCGGUGAAAUGCGUUGAUAUCCUCAGGAACACCGGUGGCGAAAGCGGCUCACUGGAUCUCUUCUGACGCUGAGGCACGAAAGCUAGGGUAGCGAACAGG